rnacentral:rRNA from 1 species
UAGGGAAUCUUCGGCAAUGGGGGGAACCCUGACCGAGCAACGCCGCGUGAGUGAAGAAGGUUUUCGGAUCGUAAAGCUCUGUUGUUAAGGAAGAACGAGUGUGAGAAUGGAAAGUUCAUACUGUGACGGUACUUAACCAGAAGGGACGGCUAACUACGUGCCAGCAGCCGCGGUAAUACGUAGGUCCCGAGCGUUGUCCGGAUUUAUUGGGCGUAAAGCGAGCGCAGGCGGUUAGAAAAGUCUGAAGUGAAAGGCAGUGGCUCAACCAUUGUAGGCUUUGGAAACUGUUUAACUUGAGUGCAGAAGGGGAGAGUGGAAUUCCAUGUGUAGCGGUGAAAUGCGUAGAUAUAUGGAGGAACACCGGUGGCGAAAGCGGCUCUCUGGUCUGUAACUGACGCUGAGGCUCGAAAGCGUGGGGAGCGAACAGG